UACGGAGGAUGCAAGCGUUAUCCGGAAUGAUUGGGCGUAAAGCGUCCGCAGGUGGCUAUGUAAGUCUGCUGUUAAGGAGUCUAGCUCAACUAGAUAAGAGCAGUGGAAACUACAAGGCUAGAGUACGUUCGGGGCAGAGGGAAUUCCUGGUGUAGCGGUGAAAUGCGUAGAGAUCAGGAAGAACACCAGUGGCGAAGGCGCUCUGCUAGGCCGUAACUGACACUGAGGGACGAAAGCUAGGGGAGCGAAUGGG
rnacentral:rRNA from 1 species